GCCUGUUAGCCAGUAGAGACUAGAGUGUAGCAGGUUAGCCAGAUAGCCAGUAGAGACUAGAAUGUAGCAGGUUAGCCAGAUAGCCAGUAGAGACUAGAAUGUAGCAGGUUAGCCAGAUAGCCAGUAGAGACUAGAAUGUAGCAGGUUAGCCAGAUAGCCAGUAGAGACUAGAGUGUAGCAGGUUAGCCAGAUAGCCAGUAGAGACUAGAAUGUAGCCUGUUAGCCAGAUAGCCAGUAGAGACUAGAGUGUAGCAGGAUAGCCAGUGAUAGCCAGUGUAGAGAAAACAUAAGACCUUCCAUAUCAAACACAUAUCAAACACACAUCACAACACAGUGAUAACCAACCAAUAAUACCUCAUGCAAUAAUAAUGGCAGAGCAAUUCAACUGCAACUUCAUAGAAACAAUUGACAAGAAAGAACCCAGUUAUCAACAUCAGC
ensembl:lncRNA